UUUGACCACCAAUAAAAGGUCCAGCCUGCCCAGUGACUUUGUUCAACGGCCGCGGUAUCCUAACCGUGCGAAGGUAGCGUAAUCACUUGUUCUUUAAAUGAGGACUAGUAUGAACGGCAUCACGAGGGUUAUACUGUCUCCUCCCUUUAAUCAGUGAAACUGAUCUUCCCGUGAAGAAGCGGGAAUAAAUCUAUAAGACGAGAAGACCCUAUGGAGCUUUAAACACACUACAAUUGCCUCACUCUAUGUUAAUCUCUGGAAAACCACUUAUUCAGGCACUUUGAUAGCAAGUUUUAGGUUGGGGUGACCGCGGAGCAAAAAACAACCUCCACAGCGAACAGGGCUUUCCCCUUAAACUCAGGACUACAACCCUAAGAAUCAACAAAUUGACACCCAUUGACCCAAUUUUUGACCAACGAAC
rnacentral:rRNA from 1 species